rnacentral:misc_RNA from 1 species
GGAGAAUAUCUGGAACAUUUUAUAACAUUCUUAUAUACCAUACAUUCAACUUUGCUCCAAUGGAAAACUAAACUACAGCUACACUUAGAAAACCCAUUACGAUACAAGAAGCAAUCUCGGCAAACAGAGAUAUCUAACCUUAAGAUUCCUCCGCUUCCGAAGUUGCAGACUUCAUCUCGGCGUCGCUGUCCUCCUUCAGCGCCACCACAGCACUGCCGCUAGUAACGCCGUCCUUCUCAUCCGGAAACCGAACCACAACCACAGGACACACACACGCCUAUGGAUUUUCUGUCUGUGUCAACUGACAGGAUUAGACAGCGGCUUCUUUCAGAGGGUGUCAGUGAAACAGCCAUUCAAG